AUUGAACGCUGGCGGAAUGCUUUACACAUGCAAGUCGAACGGCAGCACGGACUUCGGUCUGGUGGUGAGUGGCGAACGGGUGAGUAAUACAUCGGAACGUGCCCAAUCGUGGGGGAUAACGUAGCGAAAGCUACGCUAACACCGCAUACGAUCUAAGGAUGAAAGCGGGGGAUCGCAAGACCUCGCGCGAAUGGAGCGGCCGAUGGCAGAUUAGGUAGUUGGUAGGGUAAAGGCCUACCAAGCCGACGAUCUGUAGCUGGUCUGAGAGGAUGAUCAGCCACACUGGGACUGAGACACGGCCCAGACUCCUACGGGAGGCAGCAGUGGGGAAUUUUGGACAAUGGACGCAAGUCUGAUCCAGCCAUUCCGCGUGCAGGAUGAAGGCCCUCGGGUUGUAAACUGCUUUUGUACAGAACGAAAAGGCUCUGGUUAAUACCUGGGGCUCAUGACGGUACUGUAAGAAUAAGCACCGGCUAACUACGUGCCAGCAGCCGCGGUAA
rnacentral:rRNA from 1 species